GAGAAGGUGGCUGAGUGGUUUAAAAGCGAUAGAUUGUAAAUCUAUUUUUAAUUUAAAAUUCAUAGGUUCGAAUCCUAUUCUUCUCA
rnacentral:tRNA from 1 species